rnacentral:rRNA from 1 species
UUAAGCGACUAAGCGUACACGGUGGAUGCCCUGGCAGUCAGAGGCGAUGAAGGACGUGCUAAUCUGCGAUAAGCGUCGGUGAGGUGAUAUGAACCGUUAUAACCGGCGAUUUCCGAAUGGGGAAACCCAGUGUGUUUCGACACACUAUCAUUAACUGAAUCCAUAGGUUAAUGAGGCGAACCGGGGGAACUGAAACAUCUAAGUACCCCGAGGAAAAGAAAUCAACCGAGAUUCCCCCAGUAGCGGCGAGCGAACGGGGAGCAGCCCAGAGCCUGAAUCAGUGUGUGUGUUAGUGGAAGCGUCUGGAAAGGCGCGCGAUACAGGGUGACAGCCCCGUACACAAAAAUGCACAUGCUGUGAGCUCGAUGAGUAGGGCGGGACACGUGGUAUCCUGUCUGAAUAUGGGGGGACCAUCCUCCAAGGCUAAAUACUCCUGACUGACCGAUAGUGAACCAGUACCGUGAGGGAAAGGCGAAAAGAACCCCGGCGAGGGGAGUGAAAAAGAACCUGAAACCGUGUACGUACAAGCAGUGGGAGCCUCUUAAUGGGGUGACUGCGUACCUUUUGUAUAAUGGGUCAGCGACUUAUAUUCUGUAGCAAGGUUAACCGAAUAGGGGAGCCGAAGGGAAACCGAGUCUUAACUGGGCGUUAAGUUGCAGGGUAUAGACCCGAAACCCGGUGAUCUAGCCAUGGGCAGGUUGAAGGUUGGGUAACACUAACUGGAGGACCGAACCGACUAAUGUUGAAAAAUUAGCGGAUGACUUGUGGCUGGGGGUGAAAGGCCAAUCAAACCGGGAGAUAGCUGGUUCUCCCCGAAAGCUAUUUAGGUAGCGCCUCGUGAAUUCAUCUCCGGGGGUAGAGCACUGUUUCGGCAAGGGGGUCAUCCCGACUUACCAACCCGAUGCAAACUGCGAAUACCGGAGAAUGUUAUCACGGGAGACACACGGCGGGUGCUAACGUCCGUCGUGAAGAGGGAAACAACCCAGACCGCCAGCUAAGGUCCCAAAGUCAUGGUUAAGUGGGAAACGAUGUGGGAAGGCCCAGACAGCCAGGAUGUUGGCUUAGAAGCAGCCAUCAUUUAAAGAAAGCGUAAUAGCUCACUGGUCGAGUCGGCCUGCGCGGAAGAUGUAACGGGGCUAAACCAUGCACCGAAGCUGCGGCAGCGACACUAAGUGUUGUUGGGUAGGGGAGCGUUCUGUAAGCCUGUGAAGGUGUACUGUGAGGUAUGCUGGAGGUAUCAGAAGUGCGAAUGCUGACAUAAGUAACGAUAAAGCGGGUGAAAAGCCCGCUCGCCGGAAGACCAAGGGUUCCUGUCCAACGUUAAUCGGGGCAGGGUGAGUCGACCCCUAAGGCGAGGCCGAAAGGCGUAGUCGAUGGGAAACAGGUUAAUAUUCCUGUACUUGGUGUUACUGCGAAGGGGGGACGGAGAAGGCUAUGUUGGCCGGGCGACGGUUGUCCCGGUUUAAGCGUGUAGGCUGGUUUUCCAGGCAAAUCCGGAAAAUCAAGGCUGAGGCGUGAUGACGAGGCACUACGGUGCUGAAGCAACAAAUGCCCUGCUUCCAGGAAAAGCCUCUAAGCAUCAGGUAACAUCAAAUCGUACCCCAAACCGACACAGGUGGUCAGGUAGAGAAUACCAAGGCGCUUGAGAGAACUCGGGUGAAGGAACUAGGCAAAAUGGUGCCGUAACUUCGGGAGAAGGCACGCUGAUAUGUAGGUGAAGUCCCUCGCGGAUGGAGCUGAAAUCAGUCGAAGAUACCAGCUGGCUGCAACUGUUUAUUAAAAACACAGCACUGUGCAAACACGAAAGUGGACGUAUACGGUGUGACGCCUGCCCGGUGCCGGAAGGUUAAUUGAUGGGGUUAGCGGUAACGCGAAGCUCUUGAUCGAAGCCCCGGUAAACGGCGGCCGUAACUAUAACGGUCCUAAGGUAGCGAAAUUCCUUGUCGGGUAAGUUCCGACCUGCACGAAUGGCGUAAUGAUGGCCAGGCUGUCUCCACCCGAGACUCAGUGAAAUUGAACUCGCUGUGAAGAUGCAGUGUACCCGCGGCAAGACGGAAAGACCCCGUGAACCUUUACUAUAGCUUGACACUGAACAUUGAGCCUUGAUGUGUAGGAUAGGUGGGAGGCUUUGAAGUGUGGACGCCAGUCUGCAUGGAGCCGGCCUUGAAAUACCACCCUUUAAUGUUUGAUGUUCUAACGUUGGCCCCUGACCGGGGUUGCGGACAGUGUCUGGUGGGUAGUUUGACUGGGGCGGUCUCCUCCUAAAGAGUAACGGAGGAGCACGAAGGUUGGCUAAUCCUGGUCGGACAUCAGGAGGUUAGUGCAAUGGCAUAAGCCAGCUUGACUGCGAGCGUGACGGCGCGAGCAGGUGCGAAAGCAGGUCAUAGUGAUCCGGUGGUUCUGAAUGGAAGGGCCAUCGCUCAACGGAUAAAAGGUACUCCGGGGAUAACAGGCUGAUACCGCCCAAGAGUUCAUAUCGACGGCGGUGUUUGGCACCUCGAUGUCGGCUCAUCACAUCCUGGGGCUGAAGUAGGUCCCAAGGGUAUGGCUGUUCGCCAUUUAAAGUGGUACGCGAGCUGGGUUUAGAACGUCGUGAGACAGUUCGGUCCCUAUCUGCCGUGGGCGCUGGAGAACUGAGGGGGGCUGCUCCUAGUACGAGAGGACCGGAGUGGACGCAUCACUGGUGUUCGGGUUGUCAUGCCAAUGGCACUGCCCGGUAGCUAAAUGCGGAAGAGAUAAGUGCUGAAAGCAUCUAAGCACGAAACUUGCCCCGAGAUGAGUUCUCCCUGACUCCUUGAGAGUCCUGAAGGAACGUUGAAGACGACGACGUUGAUAGGCCGGGUGUGUAAGCGCAGCGAUGCGUUGAGCUAACCGGUACUAAUGAACCGUGAGGCUUAACCUU